AUUGAACGCUGGCGGCAUGCCUUACACAUGCAAGUCGAACGGCAGCACGGACUUCGGUCUGGUGGCGAGUGGCGAACGGGUGAGUAAUAUAUCGGAACAUACCUUGUAGUGGGGGAUAACUAUCCGAAAGGAUAGCUAAUACCGCAUACGCUCUAUGGAGGAAAGCGGGGGAUCGUAAGACCUCCUGCUAUAAGCGUGGCCGAUAUCUGAUUAGCUAGUUGGGGAGGUAAAGGCUCACCAAGGCGACGAUCAGUAGCUGGUCUGAGAGGACGACCAGCCACACUGGAACUGAGACACGGUCCAGACUCCUACGGGAGGCAGCAGUGGGGAAUUUUGGACAAUGGGGGCAACCCUGAUCCAGCAAUGCCGCGUGAGUGAAGAAGGCCUUCGGGUUGUAAAGCUCUUUUGUCAGGGAAGAAACGGUUGUGGCUAAUAUCCAUGGCUAAUGACGGUACCCGAAGAAUAAGCACCGGCUAACUACGUGCCAGCAGCCGCCGUAA
rnacentral:rRNA from 1 species